rnacentral:tRNA from 1 species
AGGUUGUUAGUUUAAAUAAAACACUUGAUUUCGGCUCAAAAGCUUAUGGUUCAACCCCAUAAUUACCUU